rnacentral:rRNA from 1 species
AUUGAACGCUGGCGGCAGGCUUAACACAUGCAAGUCGAACGAAUGGCGGACGGGUGAGUAAUGCUUGGGAAUCUAGCUAAUGGAGGGGGAAAACUACGGGAACCUGUAGCUAAUACCGAGUAACAUAGGAUGAGCCCAAGUGGGAUUAGGUAGUUUGUGAGGUAAAGGUUCAUCAAGCCGACGAUCUCUAGCUGGUCUGAGAGGAUGACCAGCCACACCGGGACUGAGACACGGCCCAGACUCCGACGGGAGGCAGCAGUGGGGAAUAUGGCGAAAUGGGGGAAACCUGACGCAGCCAGGCCGCGGGAAGGAAGAAGGCUUUCGGGUUGUAAAGUUCUUUCGGUAGCGAGGCGUUAACUACCGAAGAAGCACCGGCUAACUACGUGCCAGCAGCCGCGGUAAUUC